rnacentral:rRNA from 1 species
AGAGUUUGAUUCUGGCUCAGAACAAACGCUGGCGGCGUGCCUAAUACAUGCAAGUCGAACGGGGAAAGUAGCAAUAUGAGUACUAGUGGCGCACGGGUGAGUAACGCGUGGGUAUCUGCCUUGGAGUGGGGGAUAACAAGUCGAAAGAUUUGCUAAUACCGCAUAAGACCACUUUUAUUAGUGGUAAAAGAUUUAUCGCUUCAAGAUGAGCCUGCGUAAGAUUAGCUAGUUGGUAGGGUAAUGGCCUACCAAGGCGAUGAUCUUUAACUGGUCUGAGAGGAUGACCAGUCACACUGGAACUGAGACACGGUCCAGACUCCUACGGGAGGCAGCAGUAGGGAAUAUUGCGCAAUGGGGGAAACCCUGACGCAGCGACGCCGCGUGAGCGAUGAAGGCCUUCGGGUCGUAAAGCUCUGUCGUAUGGGAAUAAACAAAUGAAUGUACCAUGCAAGAAAGGAUCGGCUAACUUCGUGCCAGCAGCCGCGGUAAGACGAGGGAUCCUAGCGUUGUUCGGAAUCAUUGGGCGUAAAGAGGGCGUAGGUGGCUAUUUAAGUCAGUUGUGAAAGCCUGGGGCUCAACCCCAGAAGUGCAAUUGAUACUAUUUAGCUUGAGUGUGGAAAAGGUAACUAGAAUUCCUGGUGUAGUGGUAAAAUACGUAGAUAUCAGGAGGAAUGCCGGUUGCGAAGGCGGGUUACUAGUCCAACACUGACACUGAGGCCCGAAAGCGUGGGGAUCAAACAGGAUUAGAUACCCUGGUAGUCCACGCCAUAAACGAUGAAUACUCGUUGUUGGAGGUAUUGACCCCUUCAGUGACUAAGCUAACGCGUUAAGUAUUCCGCCUGGGAAGUACGGUCGCAAGAUUAAAACUCAAAGAAAUUGACGGGGGCCCGCACAAGCGGUGGAGCAUGUGGUUUAAUUCGAUGCAACGCGCAGAACCUUACCUGGCCUUGACAUCCGGGGAACCCGCGGAGACGCGGGGUGCCGCAAGGAGCCCCGAGACAGGUGCUGCAUGGCUGUCGUCAGCUCGUGUCGUGAGAUGUUGGGUUAAGUCCCGCAACGAGCGCAACCCUUGCCUUUAGUUGCCAGCAUUCAGUUGGGCACUCUAGAGGGACUGCCGGUGUUAAACCGGAGGAAGGUGGGGAUGACGUCAAGUCCUCAUGGCCCUUAUAUCUAGGGCUACACACGUGCUACAAUGGCGGUCACAAAGGGCAACAGCGAAACCGCGAGGUGAAGCUAAUCCCAUAAAAGCCGUCCAAGUUCGGAUUGCAGUCUGCAACUCGACUGCAUGAAGUUGGAAUCGCUAGUAAUCGUGGAUCAGAAUGCCACGGUGAAUACGUUCCCGGGCCUUGUACACACCGCCCGUCACACCAUGAAAGUCGGUUGUACCAGAAGUCGCUGAGCUAACAUUGAGGCAAGCGCCCAAGGUAUGAUCGAUGAUUGGGGUGAAGUCGUAACAAGGUAGCCGUAGGGGAACCUGCGGCUG